GUGAAUCAUCGAAUUUUUGAACGCAAAUUGCGCUCUCUGGUAUUCCGGAGAGUAUGCCUGUUUGAGAGUCAGUUUAAAUAAAAAUCUGCGUUGUUGCUGCCUUUCGUGGUGACGCACCGGAGUUGGGUUUUCUUUCCUUCGGGUAAGUGAGCUAAAAUUUUGCAUGAUUUUUUCGUACGUAUUUAAAUGAUUUUACGUACGGUUUCGAUAUCGAAUACUAGGUGCGUGCAU
rnacentral:misc_RNA from 1 species